rnacentral:tRNA from 1 species
GCGGGAUUAACUCAGCGGUAGAGUGUCAGCUUCCCAAGCUGAACGUCGUCGGUUCGAAUCCGAUAUCCCGCU